rnacentral:rRNA from 1 species
CUUUUCAACAACGGAUCUCUUGGUUCCAGCAUCGAUGAAGAACGCAGCGAAAUGCGAUAAGUAAUGUGAAUUGCAGAAUUCAGUGAAUCAUCGAAUCUUUGAACGCACAUUGCGCCCCCUGGUAUUCCGGGGGG